rnacentral:rRNA from 1 species
CCUACGGGUGGCAGCAGUGAGGAAUAUUGGUCAAUGGACGAGAGUCUGAACCAGCCAAGUAGCGUGAAGGAUGACUGCCCUAUGGGUUGUAAACUUCUUUUAUAUGGGAAUAAAAUGUUCCACGUGUGGGAUUUUGUAUGUACCAUAUGAAUAAGAAUCGGCUAACUCCGUGCCAGCAGCCGCGGUAAUACGGAGGAUCCGAGCGUUAUCCGGAUUUAUUGGGUUUAAAGGGAGCGUAGGUGGAUUGUUAAGUCAGUUGUGAAAGUUUGCGGCUCAACCGUAAAAUUGCAGUUGAAACUGGCAGUCUUGAGGACAGUAGAGGUGGGCGGAAUUCGUGGUGUAGCGGUGAAAUGCGUAGAUAUCACGAAGAACUCCGAUUGCGAAGGCAGUUCACUGGACUGCAACUGACACUGAGGCUCGAAAGUGUGGGUAUCAAACAGGAUUAGAUACCCGGGUAGUC